AGCCGGAAACAGAGGGACCAAAGCAGAAAACUGACAGCGCCGGAGAGGAGAGGAGAGGCAUGGCGCGCGGACCGCCCGCAGCCGCCGCCGCCGCCCAUGGGCCGCGCCUAGCCGGCGUCGGCCGCGCGCUCCUCCUCGUCGCGGCCACUGCAACCUUCCUCCCAGCAGCCGAGUCAUCCUGCCCGCGAGACAACUCGCUGGUGAGGGACAUAAGCCGGAUGCACCAAAGCAACUAUGGGAGGGAAGGAUUCUCGCAUAUAACGGUUGCUGGCGCGCUCGCUCACGGGAUGAAGGAGGUGGAAGUGUGGCUUCAGACAUUUGGUCCGGGCAAAAGGACCCCCAUCCACAGGCACUCCUGUGAGGAGAUUUUCGUUGUCCUUAAAGGGAAAGGCACGCUCUUGCUGGGGUCAAGCUCGCUCAAGCACCCAGGGGAGCCACAGGAGAUUCCUGUCUUCCAGAAUAGCACAUUUACGAUCCCUGUAAAUGAUCCUCACCAGAUUUGGAAUUCUGAUGAGCAUGAAGAUUUGCAAGUUCUUGUGAUCAUAUCACGCCCGCCUAUUAAGAUAGUUCAGAGUAACUUGUGUCUGGUACUCUAGUUCGAUACACAUGUGUCAGGACUGCUGUUGCGCAGGGAGUAGGAGUGGGAGGUCGGAGGCCGCGGGCUUGGCUCCCGACGGCGGCGAGGGCGCGGCGCCGUCCCGCAGAGGAGCGUGUGCGUGAGGAGGGAACGGUUGAGCAAGAGGACUAGACGCCCUGAGAUCCAAAUGAUCUCCAAGCAUAACUGCAUUAGUCUCAGAUUCAUCUAUGAUGAUUGGAGUGUGCCUCACACAGCCGCGAAGCUGAAGUUCCCCUACUACUGGGAUGAAGACUGCUUACCGGCGCCUAAAGAUGAACUCUAGUUUAAGUGUUUGCUACAGUAUAUCAGUUUUGUCCACAACCCUGCUGGAUUAUGAUUGACGUCCACUAGUUGUAAAACAUUAAUUAGUGUGCUGUCAUGUACAGUUCUGUGUUGUGACUCCGGAAUAUAUGCAUUGUGGCCAUGGUUUAUGAACUUAACCGCUUCUGGAGGAAAGCUAAUGUACAUUGUUUCCAGAAUUGCAAGCAGUACUGUUCUUUUCAUAA